UCCGUAGGUGAACCUGCGGAGGGAUCAUUACAGAGUUGCAAAACUCCCACAAACCAUCGCGAAUCUUACCCGUACGGUUGCCUCGGCGCUGGCGGUCCGGAAGGCCCUCGGGCCCCCGGAUCCUCGGGUCUCCCGCUCGCGGGAGGCUGCCCGCCGGAGUGCCGAAACCAAAUUCUUGAUAUUUUAUGUUUCUCUGAGUAAACUUUUAAAUAAGUCAAAACUUUCAACAACGGAUCUCUUGGUUCUGGCAUCGAUGAAGAACGCAGCGAAAUGCGAUAAGUAAUGUGAAUUGCAGAAUUCAGUGAAUCAUCGAAUCUUUGAACGCACAUUGCGCUCGCCAGUAUUCUGGCGAGCAUGCCUGUUCGAGCGUCAUUUCAACCAUCAAGCUCUGCUUGCGUUGGGGAUCCGCGUCUGACGCGGUCCCUCAAAAACAGUGGCGGGCUCGCUAGUCACACCGAGCGUAGUAACUCUGCAUCGCUAUGGUCGUGCGGCGGGUUCUUGCCGUAAAACCCCCAAUUUCUAAGGUUGACCUCGGAUCAGGUAGGAAUACCCGCUGAACUUAAGCAUAUCAAUAAGCGGAGGA
rnacentral:rRNA from 1 species